rnacentral:rRNA from 1 species
CGGCUCUGGUCACUUGNNNCUUCUGUUCCACCUGUGCACUGCCUGUAGACACGCUGUGUCUAUGAUAUUUGUUAACACACAACAAUGUUAGUUGGCAUGUUAUAUAUAAUAAUAAAAUAUACAACUUUCAACCACGGAUCUCUUGGCUCUCGCAUCGAUGAAGAACACAGCGAAAUGUGAUAAGUAAUGUGAAUUGCAGAAUCCAGUGAAUCAUCGAAUCUUUGAACGCAUCUUGCGCUCCUUGGCAUUCCGAGGAGCAUGCCUGUUUGAGUGUCAUUAAACUAUCAAAACACUUUUUUUGUUGAAGUGUUUUGGACUUUGGGAGUACUGUGCUGGUCUCUUUUGUUUUGGACCCAGCUCUCCUCAAAAGCUUUAACUUUGGAGAACCAUCAGUGUGAUAUAUCAAUUUGUUUAUACG